CCUACGGGUGACAGCAGUGAGGAAUAUUGGUCAAUGGGCGCAAGCCUGAACCAGCCAAGUCGCGUGAGGGAUGACGGUCCUAUGGAUUGUAAACCUCUUUUGUCGGGGAGCAUGGCCCGCCACGGGUGGUGGGAAGGAGAGUACCCGAAGAAAAAGCAUCGGCUAACUCCGUGCCAGCAGCCGCGGUAAUACGGAGGAUGCGAGCGUUAUCCGGAUUUAGUGGGUUUAAGGGGUGCGUAGGCGGAAGGUUAAGUCAGCGGUAAAAUGUCGGUGCUCAACACCGGCCUGCCGUUGAAACUGGUCUUCUUGAGUGAGCAAGAAGUGUGCGGAAUGCGUGGUGUAGCGGUGAAAUGCAUAGAUAUCACGCAGAACUCCGAUUGCGAAGGCAGCAUACCGGCGCUCAACUGACGCUGAGGCACGAAAGCGUGGGGAUCGAACAGGAUUAGAUACCCGGGUAGUC
rnacentral:rRNA from 1 species